GACGAACGCUGGCGGCGUGCCUAAUACAUGCAAGUUGAGCGAUGAAGCUUGGUGCUUGCACCAAUUUGAAGAGCAGCGAACGGGUGAGUAACGCGUGGGGAAUCUGCCUUUGAGCGGGGGACAACAUUUGGAAACGAAUGCUAAUACCGCAUAACAACUUUAAACAUAAGUUUUAAGUUUGAAAGAUGCAAUUGCAUCACUCAAAGAUGAUCCCGCGUUGUAUUAGCUAGUUGGUGAGGUAAAGGCUCACCAAGGCGAUGAUACAUAGCCGACCUGAGAGGGUGAUCGGCCACAUUGGGACUGAGACACGGCCCAAACUCCUUCGGGAGGCAGCAGUAGGGAAUCUUCGGCAAUGGACGAAAGUCUGACCGAGCAACGCCGCGUGAGUGAAGAAGGUUUUCGGAUCGUAAAACUCUGUUGGUAGAGAAGAACGUUGGUGAGAGUGGAAAGCUCAUCAAGUGACGGUAACUACCCAGAAAGGGACGGCUAACUACGUG
rnacentral:rRNA from 1 species